GGGCCAACUAUGCACCGG
rnacentral:misc_RNA from 1 species